UUGAUGAAGAUUCUGAAGAUAAAGUUGGUCUUAUUUCUAAAGACCCUUUCUGCCUUCCUGAGGAAGAUAUAGAAAGGAUGGUGACUGACUGUUUGACCAGUUGUUCUCAGGACUUAGCUACCUUCGCUGAUGUGGCUGUGAACUUCACCUGAGAGGAGCAGACUUUACUGGACCCAACUCAGAAAAUGUGUCCAGAGAUGUGAUGCUGGAGAACUACAAGAACCUGACCACAGUAGGGUAUCCGUUGUCCAAACCCAGUCUGAUCUCCUGGUUGGAAGAAGAGUUGAGGACAGUGGAGAGAGAAGAGUCUUCCAAGAAUGGGAAAUGCAGUUUAAAACCAAAGACUCAGCAGUUCAGCAUGAUGGUUUUCGGGAAAAAACAUACAAUAUGGUAGAAACGGAAAGGAUCCGCAAUGAGUGGGAACUCUAUGAUUUCGAGCAAUGUGGAAAAGUCAUCAGUGAACAUUCAUGCCUUAAGAUGCACAGGAGAACUCAGAAUGGAGGGAACAGUGAUGAGGAUAAUCAGCAUGGGAAAAGUUUUUUUACUCUGCCCAAGAAAACCUCUACUGGAGAGAAACCUGCCAUGUUUAAUCAGGUGGGAAAAGCCAUCAGCCCACCUCCAGAUCUUGUGUACUGGAAAACCAGCAUGCAAGAGAAAGCCUUUGAAUGUAGCGUCAGUCGGAAAGCCCUUGUGAAUCAGUCAUACCUUCAGCACCCAAUGAAAAUUCACAAUAGAGAAAAACUAGAUGAAUAGAAGGAAUGUGGGAAAUCUUUGAUUCAGUCCACAAGCCUUGGUGUGCAUGUAGAAACUAACACUGGUAACAGUCAUUACGAAUGUAAGGAAUGUGGAAAAUACUUUCAGCGGUCUUCAUACCUUAAUGCUCAUGUUCAAAUUCACACUGCAAUAAAACCCUUCAAACUUAAGGAAUGUGGGAAAGCCUUUAUUCAGUUUUUUGAACUUACUGAAUCUGCAAACACUCAAUGUGGAGAGAAGCCUUUUAAAUGUGACACAUGUGGGGCCGGCCCCAUGGCUUAGCAGUUAAGUGUGCGCUCCGCUGCUGGCGGCCUGGGUUCGGAUCCCGGGUGCUCACCGACGCACCGCUUCUCUGGCCAUGCUGAGGCUGUGUCCCACAUACAGCAACUAGAAGGAUGUGCAGCUAUGACAUACAACUAUCUACUGGGGCUUUGGGGGGAAAAAAAAAGGAGGAGGAUUGGCAAUAGAUGUUAGCUCAGAGCCAGUCUUCCUCAGCAAAAAGAGGAGCAUUAGCACGGAUGUUAGCUCAGGGCUGAUCUUCCUCACAAAAAAACAAAAUAAAUAAAUGUGACAGAUUUUGGAAAGCCUUUGCUAUUUCCUCAGAUGUUACUAACCAUUUUUGAACUCACGCUGGAAAGAAGCAUUUUGAGUGUUAUAUGUGUGGGAAAGUGUUUACUGGUUCUUUGUCAUUUAUCAAUCACAAGUGUACUCACACUGGAGAGAAACCCUGUGAAUGUAACGAAUGUGGAAAAGCCUACAUUUUUCCACUUCCUUUCAGUAUCAUGAAAGAGCUCAUCUCUAGAGAAAUCCUAUGAAUGUAAGGAGUGUGGUUAAGCUCUCAGGAACCCUGAUUCACUUCAAAGACAUGAUAGUAUCACACUGCAGAGAUGCUUUCCAAAUGUAAGAAAUGAGGGAGAGCCAUCAGAAUCUCCGCACCACCCAGUAUAUAAGUACAGUGAAGCCAUCCUAUUAAGAAGCUGGAAAGCCCUCCUUAGCUGUUUCCUCAGUGAAAUAUUUAUAUUUUUAUAUAUGAGAGAACUUGUAGUGGGGAGAGAUCUAACUGAUGUAACAUUUGUGGGAAAAUUGUUCUGCUGGUGUUCACUUGUGAUCUCGCUGUGGAGAAAAACUUUAUGGAUGUAAAAAGUGUAGAGUCAUCAAUAUUUUCCAUUAGAUGGUUUCACAUCCUUAAUAAACAUGAUGUGGUUCACAGGAAAGAGAAACUAAAUAUAGGAAAUAUGGGAAGUACUACCCUGAGUGUGAACCUUAGGGUCUUCUGAGAUGCAUAAUGUUCUGGGUGGUUCUAUAGCUGCCAGGUCCCACAGUCUGUUCCGGCGUUCAUUCGCCACAAAGAUUUGGGUCGAGAAAUGCUGUGAGGGCACAUGCCCGGGGUCUUAUCAUCCACUGAGCUUCAAAAGUCUCCUAAGCAACCUUUGUGACUCAUCUCCAGAAAGAAAAGAAUUUCUGCUGUUGGAGUGACGUUGACUCAGCCCGCACAUCUUCCCGUCCUCACGGAUCUGGCAAUUCUGGCCUAUUCUGGGGAGCACUGGGUGAAUGUUGGUUCUAGAGGGCAUCUGUUUCCUUUUGUAUGCAAAAAAAUGUUUCAUCUGGGAAUUUGGUUGUCUUGGCGUGUCUUGGCGCAUCCUUAUUUUUGACUUAUUACAUUCAGGUAGAAAGAUACUUACUUAGAUGUCUAUGAUGUGCAUAUUUCUAUGUAUAAAUAUAAUCAUAUGUAGAAAACAAGUGUUUCUACUAAAGAAAAACAAGAAUACUCACCUAUCUCCUCAUCUGAACUUCCUAUGCCUGUACAUCUCCAUAGAGCUUCAAAACAGGGUCCUCUGGGACAAAAGGAUGGAGACUUUAUUACACUGGUUCUAGAAUAAUUAAAUUUACCAUUCACAGAA